GACGAACGCUGGCGGCGUGCUUAACACAUGCAAGUCGAACGGAAAGGCCCUGCUUUUGUGGGGUGCUCGAGUGGCGAACGGGUGAGUAACACGUGAGUAACCUGCCCUUGACUUUGGGAUAACUUCAGGAAACUGGGGCUAAUACCGGAUAGGAGCUCCUGCUGCAUGGUGGGGGUUGGAAAGUUUCGGCGGUUGGGGAUGGACUCGCGGCUUAUCAGCUUGUUGGUGGGGUAGUGGCUUACCAAGGCUUUGACGGGUAGCCGGCCUGAGAGGGUGACCGGACACAUUGGGACUGAGAUACGGCCCAGACUCCUAUGGGAGGGAGGAGUGGGGAAUAUUGCACAAUGGGCGGAAGCAUGAUGCAGCAACGCCGCGUGCGGGAUGACGGCCUUCGGGUUGUAAACCGCUUUCGCCUGUGACGAAGCGUGAGUGACGGUAAUGGGUAAAGAAGCACCGGCUAACUACGUG
rnacentral:rRNA from 1 species